rnacentral:rRNA from 1 species
GCGAACGCUGGCGGCAGGCCUAACACAUGCAAGUCGAACGAACCUUUCGGGGUUAGUGGCGGACGGGUGAGUAACACGUGGGAACGUGCCUUUAGGUUCGGAAUAACUCAGGGAAACUUGUGCUAAUACCGAAUGUGCCCUUCGGGGGAAAGAUUUAUCGCCUUUAGAGCGGCCCGCGUCUGAUUAGCUAGUUGGUUGAGGUAAUGGCUCACCAAGGCGACGAUCAGUAGCUGGUCUGAGAGGAUGAUCAGCCACAUUGGGACUGAGACACGGCCCAAACCCCUACGGGAGGCAGCAGUGGGGAAUCUUGCGCAAUGGGCGAAAGCCUGACGCAGCCAUGCCGCGUGAAUGAUGAAGGUCUUAGGAUUGUAAAAUUCUUUCACCGGGGACGAUAAUGACGGUACCCGGAGAAGAAGCCCCGGCUAACUUCGUG